rnacentral:sRNA from 1 species
GGACGUAGAAGGAGCUCCGGACGCUGUAGACGCCGAUGUUACCGUCAAAAGAACAGCAUUUGGCCGUACUAAUCUCAAUCUGGAAGUUGUCCGCCGAGGCUAUGCCCGUGUCCCAGCUCCGGAUCAAGUUAAGCAUUUGAAGUCGCUGCAGACGAUUCCGGCUUACUCCAGGCUUAUUAGUAGGCUUCUUAUGAGUGAAAAGGUGCGGAAUAAUCGGAUUGGAAAAAAAUUAUAUAAAUUAAUUUGCAGGUUGCCGAUCGUAGAGGAGUCGGAGUAUGGGAGCGUGAUACAUGGGUGGAAUCCGUGCAGUCGUACCCAUCGCAAGUGACAGGAAUUAUUCGUUCAGCCGCUAUUACCAAGGCUGUGGUAUGUUUUUUAUUGGAAAAUUUACAAAAAUAGUAAUUUUUUUAAUUGGAAAAUUUCCAAAAAAAAAUCCGCCGAAUUUCUUUUCCAAAACUUUUUUUUUCGUUCAAAGUUUAUGUUUAAGAUAAUUCCAAUUAAUUAAUUCUCCUGUUUUAAUCACAUUGUUGUUUUCUUCAAAAGAAAAACUGAAAAAUUACUUUUAAAAAAUGAAAAAAUGAGCUUGAAAAAUCGUUCUCGUGUGCUGUAUUCUUAGUUUUGACGAAUUCUAAAAAAAUAUAUUAUCACCCAGACUUAAAAUUUAAUUCAAAAUUUUAAUUUUUGAGUCAGACACACUGUACCCGGUUUCGUAACGACAAAUUCUUUUCAAAUGCGAAAAGGCGAGCGCCUUUAAAGGUUACUGUAGUUUGAAACUCUUAUUAGUCAAGCUUGAAAUAUAGUUUUUCUAUUAAAAAAAAUUAUAUAUUUAUUUAAAAGCUCAAAUAUAACAAUAAAAACACAAUAGAUUUUGACAAAAAUGAUAAAAAUCAAAAAUCGAAGUUUUCCUCACGAUUUGUUAAGAUUUAUUGUGUUCUUACCGUUAUAUUUGAGCUUUUAAAUAAAAAAAAUGAAUAUAUUUUUUUAACAAAAAAAACUAUAAAAAAUCAACAAAAACUCAAAAAUUGUUUUUUUUUUCAAAAUUCUUGUUGAUGCGGUUUUUUCAUUGUUUUUCAAAAAUUAUUUUUAAUUAAAAAACUCAAAUAUAACAAGAAAAAACAUUAGGAGUUGACAAAUCGUGGAAAAAACUAUAAAAAGUCGAUAAAAAUUCUGCAACAUUGAAAUAUUGAAACUACAGUACACUUUGAAGCGGCACACCUUUCCUCCGCGCUUCAAGAAAAUAUUUCGUGUCGAGACCGGAUACCGUAAUAUUUUGCGCAGAAAUAGCAGAAUUUAUAGCCCUAAAUAAUACUAUUUCUUCAAAACCUUAAAUUCGCACAAAUUUCUGGAUAAAUUUUUGAAUUCAAAAACAAAACAGUUUUUAUUCAGGUUCUGCUCUACAACGUGACAAAAGACGUGAUUCUCUACGGAGUGAAGUUGACUCAACAGACCUAUUACGUAGUCUUGGCGAUUGCUGCUCACAUGCAAAAUGGCUAUCGACGAUUCGCGUCAGGAGUGGACCGGCUCACGGACAAGUACAACAAGGUCCGCCAACGGAUCGGAAAGUGAGCAGCUGUGCGGAGCAUCUCGAUCGAAAAUACUCACUUAUUCCUUCAAAUUUUUUUUUUGCAAAAAGUCCCCGUUCAAUUGUACAUUUGCCUGUUUCAGAAUUGUUCACACGACUUUCUAGAUGCCUUUUCUUUUUGAUUUUCGUAGUCAGUAUGCAUCAAUUUCGUUUUUCCCGUCUCUUUUUUGCUCCAUAUUCCGGUUUUAUUCCGUUUCUCCCUCCCAAAAAAAAAGAAAAGAACCAACCUCAUCCAAAAUUUUUAGAGAAAGAAGCUUAGGAUUUUGCGCUUUUUGCAACGUGUAUUAUCCCUUGUGUGAAAUAAAAUUAAAACUUUAUUUAGGGGGAGCAAUAAAAAUAAUUAAUAUUAGGAGAUAAAAAAUUUUCAAAAAAAGAAGCGAAAAAAAUAUUAGUGAGAUGUGUAUCAGGUGGUCCCAUUUUUAUUAUAAAUUUAAAAAUCUUUAAAAAAAAGGAUUUAGGACCACUUGCUACUCAAAUAUUAUUAGUAACUAAUCGUUGAACAAUACUCACAGACAAGGAAGACAAACAAAUUUCAAAUUAAAAAAAAACUGAAAAAUGUCACCACAAUUCAAGAUGUUUAGCCAUAUCCUCUGCAAGAUGGUCGAAUCCUGGAAUUGAUGACAUAUUAUCAUCGUCUUGUUGGAAAUUGGAAGGCACUGGAGGAAAGGCUGCUCUCCGUUUUGCUGAAAAUUCGGAAUUUUUUAAUUUUAAAUUGAAAUUUGUGUUUUUUCCACGAAAAAAAAAACCAUUAUUGAUCUUUCAAAUUUGCGAGUGAAAUAUGACGCUUUGUGUCGGUGUUUGCACAGUAUUCGGAUUCUGUGGUUCACUGCACCUAGUACCUCGUAUUUGACGCGCAAGUUUGAGAAAUUCAAGCUCACAAGUUUUUUCAAGAAAAAUUACAAAUUUCACACAAAAAUGGGGGAAUAAUUUAUUACGGGAACACAGAAUUCGGAGAAUGCGUAUUGCACAACAUAUUUGACGCGCAAAAUAUCUCGCAGCGAAAACUACAGUAAUCCUUUAAAUGACUACUGUAGCGCUCGAUUUUCGAAAUGAAUUUCUUUUCAAAAAUCUAGAGCCCUGCACAGCCUCCUGGAAAUGACCCAACAAGGGGGCUUGCGCGUUUCUCGUGAGCGUGGGAAAAUUUUACCGUUGAAAAGUGAUUUCCUUCAGUUUUCACGGGUUUAAAAUCGAUUUCAAACUUUUUAAUUACGUAUCAAUUGUAAAGCUAAUUAAGGGCAAGGUGGAAAAAAAAAGAUUUUUGAUUUUGGUUCAAAAAUAAAAGCGCUGAUAUAAAAAGAAAAAACCGCUAAAAAUUGAGUUUUUCUCAUAUUUCGUAUAUUUUUCAUCAUUUUUCUAGUGGAAUUUGAUGUUCAUUUGAAAAGUAAUCUUCCACCAAAGCUUAUGUUAUGAAAAAUAUGAAGAAAAACAGUAAAUUGAACGUUUUCGGAAAUUUCUCAAUUUUGCACGCGAUGCACGAGAAGUGCGCCAACAAACCAAAAUUUCCACUGGAGGAGACUGUGCCCUGUAAAUCGACACAAGCGCUGCAGUAGUCAUUUAGAGAAUUACUGUAGUUUUCGCUACGAGAUACUUUGCGCGUCAAAUAUGUUGCGCAAUACGCAUUCUCAGAAUUUUGUGUUCCCGUAAUAUCCCAUAAAUCUAACCUGUCACAAAAUGUGGUUGAAUUCCCGUGGAGCCGUUGGGAAAUGGCGUCUCAAAUGGGCUCAUCAAAUUAUUAUUAUUGAUUGAAGACAUUUCGGGUGGCAAGAAAAAGGACGAAGAUUCCAACGGCCAGCUAGGGUGAGGACGCGUGGCUGAAAAAAAAAUUUCAAGGAAUUUAUUGAAACUUGUUUUUUUUCUAAAAAAUUAUUUUAAAAAACUCACUUUCACAAUUCAUCUGAGCCAUUGGAGAACGCAUAUGACUGGAGUCAGAACUCGAUUUCAUCGGUGAAGAUUGCAUUUCUAGACCGCCCAUCGGUGGCGGCUGUUGAUUAUACGAGUUUCUCGUAUUUCCUGUCAUAAUCUGUGAUUCCACGUGAUCCCGUAAAUCUGCGAGUGCGUGGCGCUGCGAGACCUGAAAAUUGGAGUUUUUGAAUAAUUACAGGAAUUUGCGAUUUUUGCGGCAUAGGUACGGUACUUGGUCUCGACGCGAAAUAUUUUUGUUGGUGAAGCAAAUAUACAAUAAGGUGUGCGCCUUUAAAGAAUAGUGUAGUUUCAAAAUCUAGUAAAAAUUGUCGUGUCGAGACCGGGUACCGCAAUUUUGGGCAAAAAAUCCAAAAUUUCUAGUCUAGAUAAUACAUUUUAGUUUCAAAAGAUAGCCGACUUGAAUUUUCUAGGCCACCUCUCCAUCACUAACCUCAUAAAGCUUAUCAGCUCUGAUAUAUGCAUUUGGCUGAUUAUCGGGAUGAAUAAAAAGACACCGUUUGCCAUAGGGGCAUAGUCCAGUGGUAGUGUACUUGUCACAAAGUUUCGUCUUGUACUUGUUGUUUUGUCGUGAUUCCAGUCUGAAAAUAUUCAGGGUUUUUGCGCGUCAAAUUUCAGGCAAAGCGGCAAAUUGCAGGAGUUGAAAUUUCCGGCAAAUCGGUAAACUGCCGGAAUUGAAAUUUCCGGCAAAUCGGCAAAUUGCCGGAAUAGAAAUUCCGGCAAAUCGAUAAAAUUCCGGAAUUGAAUUUUUCCGAAAAUCGGCAAAUUGCCGGAAUUGAAAUUUCCGGCAAAUCGGCAAAUUGUCCACCCCUGCGCCAAAAGUUAUGCGCAAAAAUUUUGAAAACUCACUUCGCCGGGCGCAGCUCUUCCUCUCCAUGUGCAAAUCGGCAAUUUUCAGCAAAAGUGCAUGUUUUCGACUCGAGCCAUGCCUGACAAAUGACCGUCUUGUAAGAUUCGGGCUUUUGCAUCCGCCGUUCGCCGCGAGGGGGGCGUCUGGAAAAUGUAAUUAUUAGGAGAAACUCUAAAAAUGGUUUUUUUUUGUGGAAAUUUUCCACUACUUUGACACCUUACAUCUUAGUUAUUUUAAGCGCUAUGAAAGCAUUUUCAACUACAAAAAUAUUUAUCACAUUAUCAGCUACAUUAGUGCAGUUAAAAACUUUUUGAUAUCACAAAAAAUAGUUUAGAUACAUGCGUUGAAACUUGGUACGUUAUCUUUGAAUUUUUUCAAUGGUUUUUGAUUUGGUUUUUUCACAUUUUUUCCAAAUCAAAAAGAUUUUGAAUUUCUUUUGGUUUAACAAUUUGAAUAAUUAAAACUCACUGUGGAAACCCGUGAUGUGGUGAUAUCGAAUUCGCUACAAAUGGCUGAUCGACUGGAUUUGAGGAGUAUCUGAGUGCUCGCAUCUGGUUCGUCUGGAUUUGCUUGUUUCUGAAAAACAGUGUUUGGUGUUUAGGUUUCAAACAUAGCUUCUUGCCCAAAUUUGGCACAAAAAAGUUAACUUGGGCAACAGUUGGGCAAGACAUUUAGGCCCAAAGUUUAACCGAAAUUUGGCCCAAUUCUGCUUUCGGCAAUUUCGGCAACUGCCAAAUUUGCCGAUUGCAGAAAACUCCCGAAACCGGCAAUCGUCAGAAUUGCCGGUUUUCGGAAAUCAGAACUGCCGGACCUUAAACAUGCACUUUAAUGAACUUUUUUUUUUUCAAGCUCAAAGUAAUGUAAUUUUUGAACCGGCUAUUGUCAAAAUUGCCAAUUGCCGAAAAUAUCCAAAACCUGCAGUUUCCGAUUGCCGAGAAUUUCUAAAACUGGCAAAUGCAGAAAUUGCCAAUAUUGCCGAUAAUUUCUAAAACCGGCAAUUGCACAGAAUUGCCAAAUGCCGAAAAUUUCCAAAACCGGCAAUUGCCGAAAUUCCAAGUUAAUUUUUUCGGGCAAAACUUGCGCAAGAAACUGGAGCCAAGCAACAAAAUAAAACUAACUCUGCAAUUUCCUUUCUCAAUUGCUCAUUCACCGCAAUCAGGUUAGCAGUUUCAAAAAGCAACGAGUUCAACUGAGUAGUAGGACUCGGUGGCCCACUCUGCGAUGAUGAUCCUUGACUAUGACUAGGUGAUGAAGCAUGAACUCCCGAUGAGAAUACACCACUGUCAGCUGAACCAGUUGACAUGGACGAUGGUGGACGCUUGUCAGACUUUUCGAGAUCUCUGGAAAAUAAAUAAGUUGUGGGUAUGAAAUAAUCCAAAAAAGUUGGGAUGGGGAGGGGAGGAAGUAUCAUUAUUGCCAGUUUUUGGCGUUGUCACUGUUCUGUCCACUAUAUCUCGGCUGAUAAAACCGUUCGAGUGAUAACGAACAGGAUAUUUAUUUAUCUCUUCUGUUCACAAAUAGUGCACUUAAUCUCACUAGUUAGACUUAUCAAGCUUUUUCAAAAUUACAGCUUUAGCUGUAAAAAAUGUGACACGUAAAAUAUAGUGCAUCAAUAAUUUCAAUUAAACCUUUUAACAAAUUGCACAAAAACUGAUUUAAUAUCAAUUAUGAAAAUUUUAUUUAAAAUUUUGCUUUGACUUUUAAAAUUAAAAAUUUCUAAAAAUUGCACAUUUUCAAAUUGCUCCAGCUUACACUUUUGAAGGGAAUUUUUUGUGGUAAUAAAAUUAUUAAUUAGAUAUACAUAUUCUUGACAAGAAUAUAUAGCCAUGUCACAAUGGAACACCAACUGAAUAAGUUAUGAACUUUUUUAAAACUUUUUUUUAAUAAAUGGAGGUUUCAACUAAACUUUUAAGGAAGCUUUAAUAUAUAUUUUAAAGUGUUUUCAGCAAGGAUAAUAUUCAGAACAAAUAUUUUUGAAAGCUUUACGCGUUUGGAAUUAAACAAAAAAAAACAAAGUCAAAUUUUCUGUGUAGGCACAAAAUCAUACACUUUUUAAUCAAGUUUUUAAGCAUUUUUUUAGAACUUCAGAUUUUCUGUCCCUAUGCACUAUGCAUAUAGGCAUGUAGGCACAAAAAACCUACGUGCCUACUUCCCUACCUAUUAACUAGACAAAUUCUUCAUCUAUUUCUUAUGUUUUCAUAUUUCUUUAAUAAUUAGUCGAUAUAUAUGUACAGAGGCGGCCAAUUGCCGUUCGGCAAUUUUUUUGUCGGCACAUUUUUUUUGACGGAGAUUUUCAAUUCCGGUAAUUUGCCGGUUUGUCGCUUGCCGGAUAUCAGAUUUGCCGAAAAUGUUUAAAGGGAUUUUUUUAUAAGACGAAAACACUUAAAACCUUGAUUUUUUGAUGCGUGCAAUUUUGUCUAUUAAAAUUGAAAUUCCGAAAUUUCCAACAAAAAAACCGUGCAAAACCACAAUUUGCCGGAAAUUUUCGACAAUUGCCGAUUUGCCGGAAUUUUUCAUUUCCGGCAGAAAUGUUUAUUAUUUCCGCGAUUUUCUUUAGAUAUUUUCAUAGAAUUUGCUUACUUUUUAAAAUAGUCGUAGUAUUUUGCCGAUUAAAAUUUAAAUUCUAAAAUUUCCAAAAAGCUUUCAAAGCCGUUUUUCCGGCAAAUUCGGCAAAUUCAGCAAUUCGCCGGUUUGCCGAUUUGCCGGAAAUUUGUAUUUUAGCCUCGAAAAUUCUAAAAGUAUCGUCAAAAAUCUCACCCUUUCACCUUGCUCAUCGUGCGCCUUCCCUGACUUGAUUAAAUAUGUAAAAAAUCUGAAAAACGGGAUGAAUGUGUCGCGGUCAGCCAAUACCCCUGAAAACUGUGAAAUUCGUGAAAAACACGGCGGGCACAAAAAUUUCAGGGUCAGUUGCGGAUAAACGAGAAUGAGAGAACAGUGAAAAUGAGAGAAGAUUAAACAUAACUAUGACACACAAAAUAUUUGAUAUUUGAAGAGGUUAUGUACUUAGAGGGGAAGUUGAAAUGAACUGAAAUUUGAAAGUAAAAAACACGGUCUGAAAAUAAGGCGAGAGAUCGAGAGACGCAGAGAAGCGAAGAACCGGUCUCGAGAAAUGACAAUUCAUGUGAUGGUGAUAAGAACAAAAAAGAAUUGUGAGCAGUCUAUUACACAAGAUACGAGGGGUUCGACAUGGACUUAACAGCUGAUUUUUAUUCAUGUGUCCGCUAGUUCGGAGGGGGCAUGUGAUUGCGAUCAGUUGAUUGGAGAUCAUUGGAUCAGGGGGUAUAUCAGUUAAAAGUAAUAGAACAGGGAGAAACAUGAUUUUAAAAUCCAGUAUUUUCAAAAUUCUGCGAUGCUCCCUACAAAAACCCCAGUUGAAAGAACUUUAAGAUGUUUAGGAGCCCUAUAAAAUAUAAAAUUACCCAGUUGCGGAGUUUUCUGCUUUUUGACACAAAAAUAAAUGCGAUAGAAUCAGGGCUGGGCGGCAAUUGCGGUUCGGCAAAUUGAUUUGUCGACAAAUUCGACAAAUCGGCAAAUUGCCGGUUUGCCGAUUUACCGGAAAUUUUCAUUUUCGGCAAAUUGCCGAUUUGCCGUUUGCCGGAUAUCAGAUUUGCCGGAAAUGUCUAGAGGGAUUAUUUACAGGACGUAAACACUUAAAACUGUGCCAUUUUGAAUUUUUCCCGUUUUUUCUAGUUAUUUUAACAGAAUUUGCUUACUUAUUGAAAUAAAUGUAGGAAUAUUCAUAGGAUGUGCUUAAUUCGGCUGUCUGAAAUUGAAGUUCUGAAAUUUCCAAAAAAAAAAGGGCAAAAAAUUUUUGGCAAAUUCUGCAAAUCGUCAAUUUGCCGGUUUGCCGGAAAUUUCCAAUUUCGGCAAUUUGCCGGUUUGCCGAUUUGCCGGAUCGUUUGCUGCCCACCCCUGGUACGGAUUACGAAACAACUUGAAAUUUGCAGUUACCGCACCUACAAGUGAUUCGAAAUUGUCUUGCCUGUUUUUGACACUAUUUAAAACUCAGAAGCUUCAAUUUUUUGGAAAAUUUUGCAAACACAUAAAAUAUCGAAUAAUUGUUCAAAAUACAUAUCAGAAUACUUGCGGGUACUGUGGCUGUGGUCGUGUAAAAUAUGCAUUGUCUCUACAAAAAUUUUUUGAUGUUUUUGUGUCCAAAAAUUCUAAAAAAUGAGCUAGCGUGGCAUUUUCUCCCAAUAUUUGUCAUUAAAAUUGAAAAAAAAAUACAUAUAACUAUAUUUGCUUUGUCAGACAUUAACUUGUAUUUUAAAUAUUUAAAACAACUGAAUCCAGAUUGAAAACAUGCACCAAAAUUGUCGGUAAGUUGAAAAUUGUCGGAAUAAAAUUCGACGAACAUUUUUGAGAAUUUUCAGUUUCUCCAAAUCAAGUGAAAACUAUAUUUUUGCCUACCUCAAACCUACGCCUUAUAAGACACAAGUUUUGAAGGUUUUGAUCCAAACUAAAAACUAUGGAUCAGCUGUUCCUGAGCUCAAAUUUGAAGCUAGAGCCUAAAAAGACACAAUUGAUUUGCAAUGUAGGAACGCUUGGCACAAAUUUAAAUAUUAGAUGAAGCUCAGAAAAAUGUGAUUCUAAAUUGUUAAGGGAAAAUGAAGAAGCCAAACUGGAAGAUUAGGCAAUCGAAGGGGAAAUGAUUGAGAGAAAACUUGGAAGGGCGGGUAAGAACGGGCAGUUUGGAACUGCUUUUCUAUUCCGAUUGCGUAACAAAUGGAACAGAAAAAGACAGAGAAAGAAAGAGAGAGAGGUAACAUGUUUGCUGAGUGACCGAAAACGAAAGGAUUCAGAGAUGAAGACGCUAGCGAAAGGUGUGAGUGUAACAUGCGUUUCCAUUUCUUUCAGAAAUCCACUGUAAUGAGUGAAAAGAUGGUGAUGCGCAAAAGUGAGUAUUAGAGGGGCAAGCGAAAAGAUAUACACACACACACGCAUUAUAAAAAGUGAAAAAUUAAAGCAAAAAGGGCAAAAAAGGAGGCCCGUGUGGAACCGGACUAAAUGAAAAGGUUUUGCCGAAAGAAGAAGAAGCAAUGCCAGACUAUUGCAUCAAUGCGAUUAGGAUCAAUUGGCAAUACAACAAACACGAAACGGCAUCGACUUGCCCCUCUCUGGAUCAAGAUGGAGAAGAUGCGAAUGAAAAAAAAGAGAAGUGAUGGCAUGAAUAUGUAACGCUUUUUUUAAAUUGGUUCAAAAAAUUGUCCGUUUUUGGAACUUGGAAGGGAGUGCUGGCAUGGCAGAUUUUCAGCUUUCGAUUUAUUUUUUUUUUAAUUUCUCAGUCGGCAUGAUUUCUAGUGAGUUCCAGAAAAUUCGGGUAGCAACAAAAAAAUUUAUUUAAAAGUUUUUUGACCAAGUAUAACAUUUUUUAUCAAAUUUUGUUGUUUUUUUCCGCCAAUAUACAUAUGAUGCAUUCAACGGGUGUGCGGCAAAUUGGGAAAAUUUGCCAAACUCAGCAAACGGCAAAUUUUGCAAAUUUGGCGAAAUUGCUAUUCGUCAUACUCGGUAAAUCGCAAUAUUUUUUUUGAGCUCAAAAAGUGCCAAAGUUCGGAAAAACUAAGCAAACGAUUUUUUCGGGCAUAUUGCCGAUGUGACAUUUCCGGCAGAUAAGCAAAUUGCCGGAAUUCAAAAUUUCUGGCAAAUCGGCAAACAGGCGAAUUGCUGGAUUUAACGAUUUCUGGCAAAUCGGCAAACCGGCGAGUUGCGAAAAAUGAUCGGCAAAUUGUAGUUUUGCACUUUUUUAAUUCAAAAUUUCAAUUGGCAAAAUUGUACGCAUCCUAUGGAUGUUCGUACAUCUAUUUUGAAAAAUAAACAAAAUCCAUGAAAAUAUUUAAAGAAAACGGGAAAAAAUUUUCAAAAAAGCACAGUUUUAAGUGUUUCCGUCUCAUAGAAAAAUCCCUCUAAACAUUUCCGGAAAAUCUGAUAUCUGGCAAAAGGCAAACCGGCAACUUGCCGGAAUUGAAAAUCUCCGUCAAAAUCGGCAAACCGGCAAGUUUCCGCAUUUGUCGACAAAAAAAUUAGCCCAACCUUUUCAUUCAGACUAACUCAAAUUGUUUGAUAACGUUCCUCCGCUUGAACCAACGAGAAAAAGCGGAAUUUAUCAGACGAAAAAGAAACAUUUUCAGAAAACUAGUAGAAAAAUUGAAAAGUUCCCCAGCUCAGUUCCAACAUUUUGGAAUCUUUUUCAUUUCGCAAUAAAAAAUUUGGAAAGACAGAUCAAAUUUAAUAACAAAAAAAUUGUUUCAAAACUUUUAAACCUGGAAAAAAAACCUUAAAAGUCAAACAUACUUUACAUAUCAAUGGAAAAGCCAAAAAAAAACGAAUCUUUUGUCAGUUCGCAAUUUUUUGAUAUAACCGACGAUAAGAAAUUUAAAAAACUUGGCUAAGAAAAUAUAAUUAAAGCAAAAUUUAUAAAAAAAACUCGAAUUAAAGACACAACUAUUACCUAUUGUAGGCAGAAAAUUAAACUCUAAUAAACGCAAGAAAAUGACCAAUGAGCCUGACCAACAAUAUUUGGGUAAAUAUAUGAUUUACAGAUUUCCAGAUCAUAAACGCUGAAAUUUUCAGUCAAUACAAGUAAAUAUUCUUCAAAAAAAAACAAUAAAAAUUGACCUGAAGAUUUGUUGAUUGUCACCAUAAAGGGAGGCUAUGGGAAAUAUUCUGUAUCUGGAUCAAUACUAGAAAAAACGGGGUCGAUAUUAAAAAUUUAUAGUGCAGGCGGCAGAUGGUGGGCUAAAAUUUUUUAAAUGUAGUUUUGGUUUGUUUUAAUUUUUACGGUCUUUUUUUUAAUGAGAAAUGCAUUUUUAUGUUGAACCAAGUUUUUUUCGUACUAUUUCGUACUAUUUUUGAACCCUUUUUUGAAUAAAAAAUGCUACAAUUUUUUCCGGCAAAUCGGCAAAUUGGCUAAUUGCUGCAAUUGAAAUUUCCAGCAAACCGGCAAAUUGCCAGUUUGCCGAAUUUGCCGGAAAAGCUGCAAUUACCGGAAAUAUUUGGAAAAUUGUGGUUUUGCCCUUUUUUUUUUUGGAAAUUUCAGAAUUUCAAUUUUAAUAGACAAAUGGCAAAAUUGUACGCAUCCUAUUAAUUUUCCUACAUCUAUUUUGAAAAAUGAAAAUCUCCGUCAAAUCGGCAAACCGGCAAAUUGCCGAUUUGCUGAAUUUACCAAAAAAACGACACGUGCCGAAAAAUUUUGGCCAAAUUGUUCGCAUCCUAUGAAUCAUCCUACAUCUAUUUUGAAAAGUAAGAAAAUUCAAUGAAAAUAUGUAAAGAAAACGUUAAAUUUUUUUAAAGUACAGUUUUAAGUGUAUCCGUCUUACAAAAAUCCCUGUAAACAUUUCCGGCAAACCUUAUAUCCGGCAAACCGGCUAAGUGCCGGAAUUGAAAAUUUCCGGCCAAUCGGCUUGGCUUGACGAUUUUAAGAACCCUAGCUUAAUUUUCUGAUUAACGGAGAAUUUAUGUGCCAAAAAUGAAUGUUUCAUAGAUUGUGUGCAUCUAGAAGAAUGAGCAAAAUGAGCUCAAAGCUACAUCUUAAAGACUGAUUCUUAGAGCUUUAUUUCGAAAAUUGUUUACAAAAUACUAAACACAAGUUAAAAUUAGAUACUUUACGCGGGUGUGCGGCAAAUUUCAAAAUUUGUCGAGCUCGGCAAACGGCGAAUUCGGCAAAUUCGGCAACCGGUAGAUAUUGAUACGUGAUCUUGUUAUAGAGACUACAUGCUACAGAGCGUUACUUUUUUCAAAAAUAGUGAAAAAAAAACUUAAAAACUCAACUGCAACUUGAGUUUUCAAAAUGGGAAGACAAGGAAUACAUGUAAAAUCUAAUGACAACGGACGCCGAUUACUGUAAAAGAUUCUAGAAUGAGAAAUUGGAUCUCGGUUUGCCAAUUAGCAAAGUACUAGUAUUAUUCCACCACCUUCCCGGCCGCCAUCCACCUCCUCCUCCCCAACAACACCUCAUCCAUCGCUCCGCCGCCUCUAAACCAGUCCUCUUCUGUUCGGCAUCAGCUAGCCAACGCCACCGCCGCCGCCAGCAACAGAAGGAUCCUCUCGAAACGUAUGCACGUAAUAGCCUAGUGUCUCUGUUCUCUCUUUUCAUUCAUUCGAUGAAGCUGACACACACACUCACAAAAAACGGGAGAAGAAGCUGUUGAGGUAGGUGAAGGAGUCGGGGGGGGGGGGGCUACGCAAUCGGUGCGCUAUCUAGCGAAAGAAGCGGUAGUUUUGAGGGAGAAUUGGAUGAAAAAAGAAAACGAUGAGGAGGAAGAAGAAUCAAGAAACUUGCAAUUGAUCACUGUAAGCAGGUGAGAAGAUUUGGAAGGAAAAACGUUGUGGGAUGAUGGCAGAUGUGAACAGUAAUUAAUUAGUUCAAGACAUUUUAAAUGUUGAUUUAUAUAAGUUAGUUUUCGACAGAAAUUCCAUUCGGCAAAUUUGCAAACUGCCGGUUUGCCGGUUUGCCGAUUUGCCUUCUCCCAUUGCCCGUUUUUCGCCUGUAAUCCCCGAACGCGAAUAGGCUCCUCCUUGGCGCCUUUACUAUAGAUGAAAUACUGGUUUCAGAAGAGAAAGAAUUUCACUACAUCUAGGCUUCGUAUCAGGUGUGGGCGGCAAACGAUGUUUUCCGGCAAAUCGGCAAAUUGCCAGAAUUAAAAACUUCUGGCAAAUUUGCAGAUCGCCGAAAUGCCGAUUUGCCGAAUUUGCCGGAAAAACGGCAAUAGCCGAAAAUUUGCACAUUUUUUAAAACAAAUUGUAAAUUCUUUGAAAAUAUCUAAAGAAAACGGGAAAAAAAUUUCAAAAAGGUACAGUUCUAAGUGUUUUUGUCUUAUAAAAAACCUCUAAACAUUUCCGGCGAAUCGGCAAUUUUCGGCAGAAGCCUUGGAAGUUUAACUUUAAAAUGAAUACAAAAUCAUUUCGUCAAGUUUUUUAAUUGAACUCAAAAAGUCACCGAAAAUGUGCAUGAACAGAAAAAAGUCUCCAAUUCGAAAAUGCCGUUUUACCGGUUUUUCUUCCCACUGAACUUUAGCGGAAGGGCGCACUUUCUCUAUGCCAAUUUUUUCGCUAUUGUAUUUACAAUGUGGAGAGAUUUUUUUAAUUGUAGAAUUGAAAACUUGAAUUAAAUUGAUCUAAUUGUGAGUUAUCUAACAAUUUUGCAAAAAAAAAAUUUGAAAAGUCGAGUACUAGAAGUCUCAAGGUAUUUUCUCUAUUAAUAAUGCACCACACUACUUUACUUUGAAAAACUAUAUCUCGGUUAAUUUUGAACAUAGCAAUACAUAAUUAAUCACCAGAGGAGGCAAAAGUUCGGCAAUUUUUUUUCUUUUGACAAAUUUGGCCAAUUACCGGUUUGCCGAUUUGCCGGAAAUCUCCACAAUUUCCACUCAGGUUUUUUUUUCGGUAAAGUUUAGAGAAAUUUUUUUAAAGGCGGAAACACUUAAAACUGUGCCUUUUUGAAACAAUUUUUCCCCGUUUUUUCUAGAUAUCUUCAUAGAAUUUGCUUAUUUUUCAUAAUAAAUGCAGGAUCAUUAAAAUUUCCAAAAAAAAAUGUGCAAAGCCACAAUUCCGGCAAAUUCGGCAAUUGCCAUGUUUCCUGCAGGUUCGGCAAAUUGGCAAUUUGUCGGUUUGCCGAUUUGCCGGAAACUUAAAUUCCGGCAAUUUUCUGAUUUGCCGGAAAAAAAUCGCUAGCCGCCCACCCUUGCGGUGCACUACUACAUAACAGAGAAAAUACGGUCUUUGAAAUUCAGUUGGAAGAUAAAUAUAAAAUUUCAGUUCCAUUUAAAUUUUGAAAACAAAAGUUCAAAAACUUUCAAUUUUCUAGCAGCACUACAAUUUUCAUAGAAAUCCCGUUUUCCCCAAUAGUAACUUUCCCCUAGAAUGUUCAAACAUCUUGUCCGUUGAGGCGAUUAGAAUAAAAUGCAACAAAAAACUUCAGAAAAUCAUUGUUGUCCUAGCUAACUGUCAUUGUCAUUGCAUACAACAUCAUCAUCUUAACACGUUCACACCGUUCGUUCACCUUCCCUUCCGUUGUCAUUCUCCCAGCGACUUCCCGGUGGGUUUUGGCGGCCAGUUAGCCGCCCGCCAUUUGAAUUAGCAUUAGUUUUGUGUUUUCUUCUUCUUCUUCUACCGUCUGAUUCUCUAGGACAUUUGAAGUAUACAUCGAGACCUCCUGGAGGAAGAAAGUCAUUUCAUAAUUGACCGUUCCAAUGGUAGUUAGUUGCAAUGUCUGGUGUCGCCAGACGGAUAAUUGAAUAAACUAUGAAGCAUAGCGAAUUGAAAUGACUGACGGGAGUGAAAGGUGUUCUAGGAAGCAUUAAAGCACAGUACGAUUAUGGUAUGAUGCCUGUGUUUUGUGUCUUCUAACACAUAUUGGUUGAGAGCCACAAAAAUGCUCAGACACAAAGCUAAAUUUUGAAAGUUUGUAUCUCGAACAAUUUAACUACUGGCAAAUAGAUUGUUAUUUAUUUCUCUAUAGUUUUGCACAUAGUUCAACACUUUUUGACAAAUUUAACAUUAAAAAGAUAAGUGCUCCCAAAUUGAGCUACGGGAUAGUUGGAGCAAAAUCAAGGAAGACUAAUGUCUUGAGGACAUGGUGCAUCGAUGUAUAUAGUGUGUGCACAAAUGCAAGCUUAAAAUAAUUUUUGAAACUUAGAUCUUACUUUAGAUCUCGUGCAGGCAAAAUGUUAUAAUCUUGACUUGACCGUAGGAUUCUCGGCAUUUGGCUCUAGCUUCUUACCCAAGUUUGGCCAAAAAGAUAUUAAUUUGGAUCAGAAGUUGUUGGCUAAGCUUGGGCGAAAGAUGGGUAAGACUUUGGCAAAACUUGGUUUCAGGCGACAUCAAAGUUUAACCCAAGUUUCACCCAACUCUUACCGAAUUUUGGCCAAACUUUUCUUAUUUCGUUUCAAACUUGGGCCGAAGUUUGGCAAGAGUUGAAACUUGGGUUAAACUCUGAUGUAGCCUGAGCUAGAGCCAAAUGACGAGUGUACUUUCGAAUCAAAACAAAUUUGAAUUGUGAUGAUUUAAUUCGGAAACGGCGUUGUUACAUUAUGUGUACUUGUGUCGGAAUUGAAAAAAAGUAAUUUUUCCACGUAGGCACAUAAAUUUACGCCUGCCUGCCUUCCUUCAAAUAACCUGCGCAAGUCUGCUUCUUACAUAUGUUUAUUACCGUUAAAGUACACACAUCUUUUUACUCAUUUCUCAUAGUCAAUUAAAGUUAAAAAUUCUGCGUGGAACUAGUCGGGAUGCCAAUGCAGUUGGCUACUGUAGUUUGCGUUUCCCAUUAAAAAUAAAUUUACAUAAUCUGGUUUCCCAGAAAUUUUUAAACCAAACAAAAAAGUUGAAGAACCUUGAAGAUGUUUCUAGCGUGUCUAGAAUUGGGAUAUGAAGAUGGAAUAAAAGUUACUGUAAAUAUCGGUUUUCUUUUGUUUUAUCAAAAAAGCUGUGGGUACUGUAGAUAAUUUUUUCACAAUGCUUUGGUAGUUAAGAGAGUACAUUUAUCUAUAGAUAUAGUUCACCAAAAACCAAUUAAAAACUCAAAAAAUCACAAAUUGAAGCUGUGAAAAUCAAAGAAUAAUUGACUGACGUGGAAAGCUAGUUAGCCCGCAAGAUCGCAAUAUCGAAACAAAAUCAAGCUGAUAAGGAUGGAAGAUGCGAGAAAAAGAGAAGAAGAAGCAUCUCGGGAAAAAUGAUACAAAAAGUGGCUAGGCGAUCGGUUGCUGCUUCUUCUUCUUCUUCUUCUCCCCCAUCCCUCCUCACGGCCGCCGCCUGCUGCAACUUCUCGGACUGCGCGGAACCGGUCUGCCCGCCUUCAAGACACGAUGGCAAUUGAAUCCUGGAUAGAGAGACAUAGGCUAAGCUGAUUUUUAUUUCCCCCUUUUUCACUUCAACACACAACCGUUUGCCGUCGCGACACAAUCACCGGAAUUGAUAUAUUCAUGAGGAUAUUGUUCCGGAGAAGUUGAGGAAAUGGGAGAAUGAAGAACUGGAUUCGGAUGGAAAAUUGUUUGAAAAUUUGAAUUUUCUCAAGUGUAAAGGGAAACCUCUAAUUAUACAUCAUGGAAGACUAGUUGCGGCAAAAUUUGCCAAAUUUGCCGUUUGCCGAACUCGGCAAAUUUCAAAAUUUUGAACUUGCCGAAUUUGCCAAGCUCGGAAAAAAUCGGCAAGUGCCGUUGUUCGGGCAAAUUCUGCAAAUUGGCAAUUUCUCGCUUUGCCAAUUUGCCGGAAAUUUUGAUUUUUGGCAAAUUGCCAAUUUGCCGAUUUGCCGGAAAUUUUUAUUUUCGGCAGAUUGCCGUUUGACGAACUGCAAAUUUCACAAAUUUGGACUUGCCGAAUUUGCCGAACUCGGAGAAAGUCGGCAAGCGCCGUUGUUCAGGCAAAUCCUGCAAAUUGGCAAUUUCUCGGUCUGCCAAUUUGCCGGAAAUUUUGACUUUUGGCAAAUUCGCCGAUUUGCCGUUUGCCCAACAUCAAUUUGCCGGAAGUUUUUAGAGGGAUUUUUUACAAUACGGAAACACUUAAAAUUGUGCCGAAAUUUUUCGUCACGUUUUUCUGGAAAAUUAAGCAAAUCGGCAAUUUGCCGGUAUGCCGAUUUGCCGGAAGUUUUCAAUUCCGAUAAGUUGCCAAAUUUACUGAUUUUCCGGAAGUUUUCAAUUCAGGCAAUUUGCCGGUUUGCCGAUUUGCCAAAAGUUUUCAAUUUCGGCAUCGUGUUUCUUCCAUUUUUAAUUGAAAAAAUUCCACAGCGGAUUAGUCAAAAAUCGAACAAAAACCAGUUUUUCCGUUAAUUUUGGCACUUUUUGCAAAUUUGUCUAAUUUGCCUAUUUUGCCGAAAUCGACAAUUUUCAAAAUUUGCCGCGCACCCCUGAUAUGGAGGAAGUUGCCAGAUACUAGCUAAUCCAACUCGCCCGGAAAACGUCAAUCUCCUAUCAAACGUGAGAAAACAGAGUUACAUACAUUAUCUUAUUUUCCCAUGCCACAACUUAUAAUUAUCAACUAGGAAAACAAAAUCAAAAAUUUAUUUUUUAAGCAAAAAUAGAAUAGAAGUAGUUGAGUUGAAAAUAUCAGACGACGACGAACCGAAUUGAUUCCAAGAAAAAAAUGAAAUUUUACGAUAACGACCAAAAAAACGAGUGCAUAAUCAGUGAAUUUGGUGAUAAGAAGAAGAUUAAGUCCAUGCUGAUCUUUUGACAUGGAACAGUGGAAGAGUAUGAGUUGGGUCAUACGCAUUGGAGAGGUCAAUUCCCAGAUGUUGCUGAUAUCUGAAACGGAAUUCACUCUAUUUGUAGAGGAUGUUUGUUUUUUUUUACCUCAUCAAUUUUCUUUGCAUAAAGUCCGAAAUGUUCACCGGUGGUCGCAUCGUACCCAUAGCUGUGCGAACUUUUGCCACAGCUGCCUGACGUGGAAUCUGCUCCUUGCUCAUGAGAUAUGCCGAGGCGAAUGCUGGGGCGCUGAAAUUUUUGCAAGUUGCCAAAGUUUAGCAGAAAGUUGGCAAACUUUGGCAGAAAGUUGCCAGUUGCCAAAGUUUGCCAGGAAUUUUUCAAAUUUUGGUAGAAAAUUUCCAAAGUUUAGUAGGAAGUUGUUCAAGUUUGACAGAAAGUUUUUAAAUUUUGAUAGGAAGUUGCCAAAAUUUGGCAGAAAGUUGCCGAACUGUGCCAGGAAUUUCCAAAGUUUGGCAGAAAGUUUCCUAAGUUUUACAAAAAAUUACAAACCGAUUUCUGCCCCUUGUACUGCAAACUAGCACAUUUCGCUUUGCACGACGAGCACGUUGCACCAAAUCGAGAAAUCCGUCGAACAUAUCAUUCAACUUUGUGUCUUCAGUAAGCUGAAACCAUUUAGAACAUUAUAAAACAACCUUAUUAUUCAAAUUCUGUACCAUCAUGCAUCUCUGCUCAGUUUCCGGCAAGCUAUAUGAGAGGUAGUAGCGGAAGUGACUGCUCGAACGGUUGCAAAAGCAUGGACAUUCGAAGCCACGGUUUUGGCGUCUGGAACUAGAAACUGGAAUAAGCGUGCCUGCCUGCCUAGAAUAUUUUUUUGCAAGCUUAUGUUUUUCUGACAAAUACACAGAGCUCACAAUUUUCAAAAACAAACUUCGAUAAUUACGGCUUACUCACCUAGCCUCCUGCACGUGAUCCGCUGUCUCAUCAGCAAUUUCACAAAUAAACUCAAUAUUUAGUCUGCACAUUAGGGAAUUAUUGUUGACUGCAUCAAUCGCUGACGCGAACACAACAUCGUCAAUUUGCCAGACUACUUCAUCAAUGUAAAGGGAUCGGAAUGGAUUGGUAACCGACGCUUUGACAGGUGUCGUUGGAACCUUCGCCGUCUUGACUCUCUCGAACACAUCUUCGGAUCCUUCCGAGAACGGUGGGGAUUUUGGAGAGAGUCCAGUGCCUGGAUAGUCAUUGUCAGAGUCGAAAAUCUCCACAUUUGAAAGAGAAACCGGAGUUCGUGGGGUCUCUGUUACAUCACAUUCGUCCGAUAGAAUCGAGAAUGUGUCUUGCUGAAAAUAGAGAAAAUCAUGAUAAUUUUUAAUUUAUGAAGGGUUAAGUUUGGUGCAAUACGACAGGAGGUUAACCAAAUUAGUGCGAAAUCAGUUUGUUAAUUCUGGGUUUUUUGGGACCUAGACGGCCUAGAACCUACCUAGAAGUACCUAUAGGUGCCUAGAAAGCUUAGUAAAGUUGUCUACCGUAAACUUAUCAGUUGGAGCAGUUUUUUUCUAAAAACCGUUUACCCUUAAGCUUUGAUCUCGCUAGUAGAGUAUCAGUAGAGUAUUUUUGCAGUGAUGCACCGAUGCGCCUACCUACUGCCUAGUUUCAAAAUGAUCAGAAUCAGGUAGGUAACUUAUACGUCAGGGGUGGGCGACAAACAAUUUUUCCGGCAAAUCGGCAAAUUGCCGGAAUUGAAAAUUUCCGGCAAAUUGUGGUUUUACAUUAAUUUUUUUUGAAAUUUCAGAAUUUCAAAUGACAAAAUUGAACGCACCCUAUGACUGUUCCGACAUCUAUUUUGAAAAGUAAGCAAACUUUAUGAACAUAUGUAGAAAAAACGGAAAAAAUUCAAAAAGACACAGCUUUAAGUGUUUCCGUCUUAUAAAAAAUCCCUAUAAGCAUUUCCGGCAAAUUGAUAUCCGGAAAACGGCAAACCGGCAAAUUGCCGGAAUUGAAAAUUUCCGACAAAUCUGCAAACCGGCAAAUUGCCGGAAUUGAAAAUUUCCGGCAAAUCGGCAAACCGGUUGGGCAAAAGUUGGGCAACACAGACCCUCCUAGACUCAACUUUCUACAUAUGUAUGUAUAUAUAUAUAUACCCUCCAACUAUUAACCUUUAGUAUUUUUCAGCUGUCUUGCAAUUUCACACGAAUUCUACAUUAAUAGAUUCUGCUAAAUGUGUGGUUUGUGUCUAGUUCUUUGAUCUUGCUGAUUAUAUAGCAUAAUCCCAUGAAGAAGGGGGAUUUGAUCUUAAAUUUCGGAUCAAAACUAUGAUUUUUCCAGAAAAAUUUCCCAGAAAAAUUUCCCAGAAAAAGUGUUAAAAAUAGCCACAAUAGUACGCGGAAAUGGAAAAGAAAAAAAAUCGAAAGUUGUGUUAGGAAAAGAGCAUGCAAAAAAGGAGUGCUCACAACGGAAUGGCAGAAUCCCGGCCAACGACUGGCCGACUUUGAUUGGCGCACCUUGGCGGGUGCCACUUUGAUCAGUCUUCCAGAACUGACGACGGUCUCCGUUGACACUGUCGAUGCGAUUGAGAUGACCGACGAGGAUCGGGAUGCUGUCAGUGAUGGAGUUGGUGUCGGGGAGUCUGCUAAUUUGGGAAAAAAAAAUUAUAUAACAGUCUGAGAGGCUUAUAUUUUGAAUUUUGGUCAAUUUCGAACGCUCCAAUGAACCGUGAGAAUUUGUAGAAAGUUUACAAGAACUUAUGAAAGAAAAAACCUAAAGUUUUUUUGUUAAAGUGUAUUUAGGAUUUUUCUAAUAUAAAAGUACUCUGGGGCAGUUUUCAAGCUCAUUUUUUCCGGAUGUCUUCAGGUAAAAUGAAAUUUUUAUUUCAAAACCAAUCACGCAUUACUCACCAACAGUAUCCGCAUUCUUGCAUAGAAUUCGAUUGAAAGUGUUGUUUUUGUUAAUCAGCGAAUGAAUCUGCUUACUAUCAAGCCCUGGUGUACUUCCGGCUCUUGCACGAACAGUCAACCUGAAAAGGAGCAAAAGUUAAAUAAACGGUCAAGACGAUUUUCCCGGCAAAUCGACAAAUUGCCGGAAUUGAAAUUUCCGGAAAAUCGGCAAAUCGGCAAGGAGGAAAAUUGCCGGAAUUCCAAAUUUCCUGCAAAUCCACAAACCGGAAAAUUGGUGAUUGCCGAUUUUGCCGAAAAACAGCAAUUGUAGAACAUUUUGGUUUUACACAUUUUUUUUUUGGAAAUUUCAGAAUUUUAAUUUUGAUUUGCAAAAUUGUCCUAUAAAUGUUUCUACAUCUAUUUUUAAAAAUAAACAAAUUCUAUGAAAAUAUCUAAAGAAAACGGGAAAAAAACUUUAAAAAAGCACAGUUUUAAGUGUUUCCGUCUUAUGAAAAAAUCCCUCUAAACAUUUCCGGCAAAUCGGCAAACCGGCAAUUUUCCGAAACUGAAAACUUCCGGCAAAUCGGCAAACCGGCAAAUAGCCGGAAUUGAAAGUUUCUGGCAAAUCGACAAAUCGGCAUCUUGCCGAAAAUGAAAAACUAAGGCAAAACGGCAAAUUACUGGAUUUAAAAAUUUCCGGCAAAACGGCAAAUUGCCUGAAUUGAAAAUUGCCGGUAAAACGGCAAAUUGUCUGAAUUGAAAAUUUCCGGCAAAUCGGCAAAUUGCCGGAAUUGAAAAUUUCCGGCAAACCGGCAAUCCGGCAAAUCGGCAAAUUGCCGGAAUUGAAAAUUUCCAUUCUCAGUUCUUUGUGCCGUUUUUCCAGAGACCAGACUCCCCAUUUUUAUGGAUUGGAACUUAAUAAUUGUUUACAUUGAUUUCUGAAAAUCGCCAAGUUUUCUUGAAAACAAACCCCCUAGUUGAUGUAUUAAAUCGGGAAAACAUGUUUUGUAAGUUUGGCCAAAAAAGAAGAAAGUUGCCGAGAUAUUUUGAAACAUAACGGCAUUUGAGAUAAUAUACUUACACACUAGGUUACAUACUUUUCUGCAGAAAAAUUUGUACUGAGUUAUAUUUUCAAAAAAAAAAAACGAGUUAGGUGUAUAAUACGUAGUAGGUAGGUAGGCAUCGUAGUGAGAUAUAAUUUAAUUGCCAAAUUUACUUUAUAAGUACUUUUUAUGCUCUAAUAUUAAGACCAAUAGAAAUGUGUGGCUUUUUGUUGUGCGCUAUAUUUUGCACUCCAAUAUUCAUCUGCCUUGGUUUGAGUUUUUUGGACUUUUAUAAGUACUUUGAUGUCUAAAAAUAUAAGUUUUGCACCAAAGCUAGCCCCGCCCAUUUAUUGGCUCUUUUUAUUUUUCUGUAUUGCCUGGUGAAAACUAGAAAAGAAUUUUUUGUUAAUUUCUGAAAAUGAAAAACCAAAAAGUAAGCUAAAAACAAAAAGUUAUUUUUGGGUUCAUUAGAAGCGUUCUCUACUGGGAAUAAUAUAGCUUUCUGGUCACCAAAAUGUGACUAAUAUUGGCUAUUUUUGGGAAUUAAUUAGGGGAAUGACAAUGUGAUAAUUAUUCACAAAGUGCAAGCUGAAAUUGAGAGAGAAAGGUGGUUUUGGGUUCCGCAAAACGUUGAGUUGAGGUGGCCGAGUUUUUUUUUCUGUUUUUUCUCGGCCAUUUGGAAAAUGCCGCCAAAAUGUAUUUUUGGCUCUAAGAAUUUUUGCACAUUUAGGCCACCAUAAAAGAACAGCUCAAAUUUCUUAGGGUUACGGUGCCUGAAAAAUGUCUCUCGUGCCAAGACCCACCGCCUCAAUUUGGCAUGAGAAAUCGAACUUUCUCGCGGCAAAAUUUUUUUUUCAAUCUCAAAAAAUCUCACAAUUAAAAUUCUUGACUGGAUUUCACACGAAUUUGAAGCAGAAAAUUUUUUUUUUCAACUUCAAAAAUGAAAGGAAAAAAUUCCCGUUUUUUUCGGAUUGAAAAUAUGAUUUCCAUAAACUUUUAGUUAGCGAGAAGUUGGAACCGGCAAACCGGCUAAUUGCCGAAUUUGAAAAUUUCCGGCAAAUCGGCAAACCGGUGACUUGCCGAUUUGCCGAAUUUGCCGGAAAAAAACGACAAUUGCCGGAAAUCUUAGGGAUUUUCUCAGAAUUUCGAAUUCAAUCGGCAAAAAUGUACGCAUCCUAUGAAUGUUCCAACAUCUUUUUCGAAAAUAAGCAACUUCUAUGAAAAUAUCUAAAGAAAAUUUCCGGCAAAUCGGCAAAUUACCGGAAUCGAAAAUUUCCGGCAAAUCGGGAAACCGGCAAGUUGCCAACUUGUGGCACAAUAUUAUAGAAAAAUAAUAUUAAAAUACUUGGCAGUUGUUCAGUAAAAUUAUAGACAAUUAGGUUGUGAGCAGCUAAAAUCGGGCAGUAAGGUGAAAACGUUACCACUUUUUUUUUUGAAAUAUUGAGUUUUGUACAAGAUCACAGUUUUGUAAAAGAGACACAGUUUUGUAAAAGAGACACAGAAUACAAUUUAAUUUAAGAAAUAAGAUUUUCGAAAUCCCACUGCCAACUUACGGUUUCGCAUUCGGAGAUUGAUAUGUGGCCGACUUGGAGCUUCCUUUCAUAUUUUGUACAAUCAGCUUUAUUAUAGGUUCUGAAAAAUAAACUUCUAUAUAGAAGAAGAUGAUGAUGAAGCCAAACGGAAUCAGUGAAAAACGGAAAACAGAGACAAAAAGUAGAAGAAACGGAGUAGCAGUUGCACUCGGCUCCACCCAAAAUUUUCGAGAGCCUUCCCUUUCGGAAUCUGAAAGCCGUGUCGCUAGUGGCAACGGUGGGGAAAUAGAGCUCCACAACUUUUUUCUCUCCUCCACUAUAACACCACAAAACUCUUUGUGUUGAUUAUAUAUGUGAGGUGAUUGUGGGUGGAGAAGAAGAGGAGAGUGUGAAUUCACAGAGUGAGGCACAAGGAGUAUGCCGUCAAGUGAGAGGGGGAAUGAGUUUGAGUUUUUAGCUGGAAAUAUGCUGGUUUUAGGUAAUCUGGGGAACUGAGGAGUCGUCUUAAAAUGUAGAUUAUCCAAUAAAUAUCCCAACCAUGAAAAUUCUCAAAAAGUGCUUCACAAGAAAUAUACUUGCUAUGGAGUAUGGCUGUGGCAUCAACGUUUUUGGUGAACUUGUACGGCAGAUGUACAAGAAAAUGGUUAACAAAGUGAAUUGGCAAGUUACCUAACGAAUUCUGCCUUUUUCUGAAAUUUUCCAAUUUAUCAGAAAGGGUUAAAGGUGUUUUACAGGGCUCGUGGUGGUCCAAGGUACCCGUGGCCCAAUCAACAAAAGUUUCUUAUUGACCAACUUUGGAAUCGUGGAUCUCAAAUAAUACUUAUACUUAGAUACUUAGAUACUUAGACGAUCCGUUCUUCAGGAAUUCGUGGUAUUCCUGCGGAUCACAGCAAGCCAUUCUUUUCGGUCCUUGGCUAUAAUGGACCACUCAGGCAAACGAAACCUAAUCUGGCCAGAACUAGAGACCUGGCCAGAUCGGUAGGCAAUCUGGCCAGAACAACCCAAUCUGGCUAGAUCUGGCCAGAAUUGGUGGCAGCGACCCAACCUGGCUAGAUCUGGCCAGAAUUGGUGGCAGCGACCCAACCUGGCUAGAUCUGGCCAGAAUUGGUGGCAGCGACCCAACCUGGCUAGAUCUGGCCAGAAUUGGUGGCAGCGUCCCAACCUGGCUAGAUCUGGCCAGAAUUGGUGGCAGCGACCCAACCUGGCUAGAUCUGGCCAGAAUAGGUCACUGCCACCGAUUCUGGCAAGCUCACGAGGCAAUCUGGCCAGAUCGUGUGAACGCAAAUGCGCUCCAAUGUUAAUCGAGAUUAUUCGAAAAAUAUCUUUUGUGUGCUGCGCGCGUUUCUUGUACAUAUGUCUGUUUUCCGUCAUUUUUUCCGUCAUUUUUUCCAACAUAAAUCGAUUAAUCAUUGAAAUAAAGAAAGGGGUAAUUAUUACAAGGCAUUUUAGAAAUCUUAUGCGCAUCUCUUCAAGAUUUCACAAACAUCUCCCUAAAUUUCACGAACAUCACGAAAUAUUCACAUUUAUCUUUCACGUCUUUCAAGAUUUCUAAUAGAUCUCUUCAGAUCUAAGGAUUUCGAAUGGUUUUUCCCAGAUUUUUCCCGGCUCCGAAGAUUUUGAACUUUUGUCAAGAUUUCUAAUAUGCCUUGUAAUAAUCAAUUUCGCUCUCAAGAUCACGUCAUAUUUCACUGAGCAUAUAAAAACCUGAUUGAAAAUUUCACGUUUGAUUAUGUUCUUAUUUACCGUGAUCGUUAUCGUUGAAAUAAAGUUAGAGAUGUAAAAAGCGACGUGUUUUACAACGUGUCGCUCCUCUUUUUCCGAAAAACUAUUCAUUUCAAUAAAUUUUUAAAAAGGUGGAACGCCACGUUGCAAAGUACGUAGACUUUUUUUGUUGCUCUCACUGUAUUUCAAUGAUACGGCACAUUUUACUAUAAUUCGUACAUUCUUCAUUUCUAUUCACGAACUGAAUAUUAAUUUUAGAAAUUAGCAGAUGGUUCCGCACCAGCGCACAACAGUUCGUUCAAUUAUGAACCAACUGGAAAAACAACUUCAGGCUGGCAGCAGAAGAAACGCGGCACCAGAAGAAACGAAUCCCAGCUGUACAGGUGAAAACAGUGAAUUUUCAACAACAAAAAACAGUUUACAGACUUUGAAUCUUCUCAUCCGCAGAGCACCAUUCCAGCGCCUUGUUCGUGAGAUUGCUCAGGAUUUCAAGACCGAUCUUCGAUUCCAAUCUUCCGCUGUUAUGGCUCUUCAGGAGGCUGCCGAGGCUUACCUUGUCGGACUCCUCGAGGACACCAACUUGUGUGCCAUCCACGCUAAGCGAGUCACCAUCAUGCCAAAGGAUAUCCAAUUGGCCAGACGUAUCCGAGGAGAGCGCGCUUAAAUACCUUUUUUGGUAGUUGAGCAAGCUUAAUCUCAAAACUUUACCGAACCCAACAACCCUCUUUAGGGCCACAAAUGCAUAAAUCCAGUCCUUGUGUAAAAUAAAAAUUGUUUUCUUUGUUUUUUGUAUCAUUUUGAAGGCCCGGAGAACCGAACCAUCAAAUUUUGGCAUAUAUUUAUUAUAUUUUGAAAGCGUUGCCACCCAUCUGGCUCGCCGCAUACCCAAUCUGACCAGACGCCCUCCCAAUCUGGCCAAAUACACACCUAAUCUAGCGAGACGCACACCCAAUCUAGCCAGACGCACCCCUAAUCUAGCCAGACGCACACCUAAUCUAGCCAGCCGCACACCUAAUCUAGCCAGACGCACACCUAAUCUAGCCAGACGCACACCUAAUCUAGCCAGACGCACACCAAAUCUAGCCAGACGCACACCCAAUCUAGCCAAAACCUACUAAUCUGGCCAGAAAUAAACCCAAUAUAGCUAGCGAAAACCCCGAUCUUGCCUGGUUGAUCCAGAACGGGUUGUUCGUGGUGCCAGAUUGGGUUUUUUCCUGGCUAGACUCGGUUUCGUUUGCCUGAGCAGGGGGUGAUGACUUCUCCGUCUGCGUCACGAGAGCUGGAAUUAAAGGGACGAGUACGAGAGGUGCUUCCCAGUGGUGAACUCCGCUUGGAACAUGAGCCAAUUAUGAAGAUUCCGUUCCUUCCAAAGCGAAAGAAUGUCGAUACGGGCCUUCUGAAUCUGCGGCUGGCCGGUGUAGAGCUCUCUCAAUCUGGACAGCAAUUUUUGGCGAAGGAUUUGAGGCACACCAAUAAGCCCGUCACUUUUACCGUUAUUAAG